UCUCCUUCUUCUAGCUUCCUUAGUAAUCUUCUCACCCUUUUGUAGUAUUAUUUUACCCGUUUUGUGGUGAUUUUCUGGUUGAUGUCUAGAUCGGGAGGAUUUUGUUCCUCAAAUUGUCUUUUCAGUUUUUCUCAUUGUCAUCCAAUCUCAUAUGCUUCAAGAUCUAAGAUUACUCAACCCCUCAAUAGAUCAACUCUCUCUACUCAUUACCUCUAAGAAGAUGUCUAUGGUUGCAAGUAUAAAGUGCAAGUCACUUACCCACGCGAUUAUGGGUGCUCACGCAUGGGUUUUACACCCCCCCAUUCUCCAUCGGUCUCGUUCUUGUUCUCGUUCUAUGUUAUGGUUCUUGGUUACAACUUGGUAGCCAUGUUUCUUUCUUGAGAAGUGUUGUUAUGGUGGAAGGAUUGGUGUUGUUUUGUGGGAUCUCCUCUCUUUGGAGGCUGAGUGUUUUAUGGUCUGUGGUUUAGGAUUUGGCUGGCAACGGAACAUCAACUUGCUCAUCCAUGCAUGUCGUUCUGCCUCCGGUGGUUGAUCAAUGGCUUUAUAGAUCGGUAGCGACUGCGACGGCGACGGCGACGGCGACGGAAGAGGCAGCAGCUAGGGUUUGCUUGGGUGGCCGCUGGUUUAGCUUUGAUGUGUUUUGUGUAAUUUUAUUUUUAUCUUUAGGGUUACCAUUUUUACCUUUUCAUGUGGAUUGGGUUGAGUGGUAACUUCCCUAAUGUUUAUCUGUACUUGGGCCUUAUUUGGGCUCUUCCAUUGGACUUUCCCCUUUGGUAAUCAUUAAUAAAACUUUUCAUUAAUUCCAAAAAAAAAAUGUACAAAUUUAAGUAGAUGUAGUGGCUUGCAUGCUUCUCAUACCUUAAAGGUCACAUUCGAUUUGUAACAGGUCGCGAAUUUACAAUGGAUUUCACUCGGAGCAAUUAUAAUUAUGAAAAAUUGUAACAAUUUUCUUUUUUAGAAUGAAUUAAAAGCAACUUAAAAGGAAAAAAAUGGUGGAAUAAAUGUAAAAAGGUGACAUGAUGUCAUAUUGUAAGGCUUGGGUCCAA
rnacentral:lncRNA from 1 species